GAGUUUGAUCAUGGCUCAGAACGAACGCUGGCGGCAGGCUUCAUACAUGCAAGUCGCGCGAUUAAAGCUCCUUCGGGAGUGUAUAAAGCGGCGAACGGGUGAGUAACAGGUGGAUAAUCUACCUUACGGUGGGGGACAACGGCUGGAAACGGCCGCUAAUACCGCAUACGAUUGCGGGUUCUUCGGAACCUGUAAGGAAAGGGGCUUUCAAGCUCCGCCGUAAGAUGAGUCCGCCCCCCAUUAGCUUGUUGGCGGGAUAACAGCCCACCAAGGCGACGAUGGGUAGCCGAGCUGAGAGGUUGAUCGGCCACACUGGGACUGAGACACGGCCCAGACACCUACGGGUGGCAGCAGUAGGGAAUAUUGCGCAAUGGGCGAAAGCCUGACGCAGCCAUGCCGCGUGGAUGAUGAAGGCCUUCGGGUCGUAAAGUCCUUUUCUGAGGGAAGAACACCCACGGGAGGAAAUGCCCGUGGCUUGACGGUACCUCAGGAAUAAGCAACGGCUAACUCCGUGCCAGCAGCCGCGGUAAUACGGAGGUUGCGAGCGUUGUUCGGAUUUACUGGGCGUAAAGGGAGCGCAGGCGGUUUGGUCAGUUCAAAGUGAAAGUCCGGGGCUUACCCUCGGAAGUGCUUUGGAUAC
rnacentral:rRNA from 1 species